UUUUUUUUUUUUUAAGGACGGAGUUUGAGUCUCAGGCAGCGUCUGUCAGAGACAAGAAAAAAGCAAAAACUUUGCACGUUUGAGCUUUAACAGCAUGUCAAGUUAAUCACCCGUUUUAUUUCCCAUCAGCCCCUCCAGCGUCUGACAUGACGUCACUGCCUGUCAUCUUCUGUUCUGCAUUUCAUCUUUUAUCUUUUCUAUUUUAGUUUUUUUUUACACUUGAGUCACGUUUGGUUUUUGCUCGCCGCUGCGGCAGACGCUCUGCGGGGUUCCUGCUCCGCCGCUGGGUGGGGGCGCUUCAUUCAUCCACCCUGAUGAAUCCUGGUUGACCUUCCUAUGGCUGCAUUUUGGUGACCAUUUUUGCAUUUUUGACCCUUUUCGUUUCACCUUCAUUUCAUGAGGGCGAAGCUCACAGCGGUCGUUUUUUUCUACCUACGCUGUAAAACAUCUCAGUCUCCGGUCGGUUCUGUCUGGACAGGAACCUAAAACCAUUAUCGUUAACCAUCAUGUUGUACUUUUGUCAACAUUU